AUUAAUAAUUAAUAUAUUUAAUAAAAAUAAUUUUAAUUUAAUAAGUAUUUUAAUGGGGGUUAAAGUAUUUUUUAAAGAAAAAAUUUUUAAAUUUAUAGUUAAUUAGUAUUGUGAAAGAAUUUUGAAAUAUUAUGAAAAAUAAAAUUUUUAGAAAGUAAUUUUUAUUUAUUGUAUCUUGUGUAUCAGAGUUUAUUAAAAAUUUUUAAUUUAUGAAUUAAUUUCUCGAAUUUAAAAGAGUUAAAUAAUUAUUAAAGUUAUUGUAGCAAAAUUAUUUUAAAUAAUUAUUUAGAAAUGAAAUGUUAAUCGUUUUUAAAUAUAUCUAGUUUUUAUAGAAAAAAAUUUAAUUUUAAAUUUAAAAAUUAUUUAAUUAAUUUAUUAAUUAAAUAGUUACUUAAAUUUUAUAAUUUAAGGGAUAAGCUUUAAAUUAAAUUUUUAUAAUAUUAAAUUUUUAUUUUGAAAAUUUUAUAAUUUAUAUUGUUAAUAAAUUUUAUUUUGUUAUAAAUAAUUUCAUUUUUUUUAAAAUUUAAAUUUUAUUUAAUUUUUUAUAUAAAAUUUAUUUAUAAUUAUAUAAAGUUAAUUAUAAUGAUAAAAUUAGUAUAUUAUUUAAUAUUAAAUUAAAAUUAAUUUUUGAUUAAUAAUUAAAUUAAUUAAAAGGAAUUCGGCAAAUAUUUAUUUUCACUUGUUUAUCAAAAACAUGUCUUUUUGUUAUUUAAUUUAAAGUCUAAUCUGCCCACUGAUUUAUAAAAAUUGAAGGGCUGCAGUAUAUUGACUGUACAAAGGUAGCAUAAUCMUUAGUCUCUUAAUUGGUGACUUGUAUGAAAGAUUGGAUGAAAAAUAUACUGUCUCUUAAUUAAUAUAUAGAAUUUAAUUUUUUAUUUAAAAAGUUAAAAUAACUUAAAAAGACGAGAAGACCCUAUAGAGUUUAAUAAAUUAUUUUAUGAAAGUUUUAUUUAUAUUUAUUAAUAAUUUUAUAAAUUUAUUUAUUUAGUUGGGGUGAUAAAAAAAUAAAUUUAACUUUUUUUAAGUAAUUUACAUGGAUAAGUGAUUAAU
rnacentral:rRNA from 1 species